GGCAGGGCAGUAACAGGGAAGAUGUCACACAGGUAUGCGGUGCGCACAGGGGACACACACACACACACACACCCCGGGAGGGACAGGGGUGGGGCAAGGCAGUAACAGGGAAGAUGUCACACAGGUAUGAGGUGCGCACAGGGGACACACACACACACACACACCGGGAGGGGUGGGGGCGGGGCAGGGCAAUAACAGGGAAGAUGUCACACAGGUAUGCGGUGCGCACAGGACACACACACACACACACACACACACCGGAAGGGGUGGGGGCAGGGCAGGGCUGUAACAGGGAAGAUGUCACACAGGUAUGCGGUGCGCACGGGGACACACACACACACACACCCCGGGAGGGAUGGGGGCGGGGCAGGGCAGUAACAGGGAAGAUGUCACACAGGUAUGCGGUGCGCACAGGGGACACACACACACACACACCCCGGGAGGGGUGGGGGCAGGGCAGGGCAGUAACAGGGAAGAUGUCACACAGGUAUGCGGUGCGCACAGGGGACACACACACACACACACACCGGGAGGGGUGGGGGCAGGGCAGGGCAGUAACAGGGAAGAUGUCACACAGGUAUGCGGUGCGUACAGGGGACACACACACACACACACACACACACACACACCCCGGGAGGGGUGGGGGCAGGGCAGGGCAGUAACAGGGAAGAUGUCACACAGGUAUGCGGUGCGCACAGGGGACACACACACACACACACCGGGAGGGGCGGGGGCGGGGCAGGGCAGUAACAGGGAAGAUGUCACA